CACCAGAAGUGGUUAGCCUAACGCAAGAGGGCGAUCACCACGGUGUGGUUCAUGACUGGGGUGAAGUCGUAACAAGGUAGCCGUAGGGGAACCUGCGGCUGGAUCACCUCCUUA
rnacentral:rRNA from 1 species